rnacentral:rRNA from 1 species
AACGAACGCUGGCGGCAGGCUCAACACAUGCAAGUCGAACGCCCCGCAAGGGGAGUGGCAGACGGGUGAGUAACGCGAGGGAAUCUACCCAUCUCUGCGGAAUAGCUCCGGGAAACUGGAAUUAAUACCGCAUACGCCCUACGGGGGAAAGAUUUAUCGGGGAUGGAUGAGCCCGCGUUGGAUUAGCUAGUUGGUGGGGUAAAGGCCUACCAAGGCGACGAUCCAUGGCUGGUCUGAGAGGAUGAUCAGCCACAUUGGGACUGAGACACGGCCCAAACUCCUACGGGAGGCAGCAGUGGGGAAUAUUGGACAAUGGGCGCAAGCCUGAUCCAGCCACGCCGCGUGAGUGAUGAAGGCCUUAGGGUUGUAAAGCUCUUUCACCGGUGAAGAUAAUGACGGUAACCGGAGAAGAAGCCCCGGCUAACUUCGUGCCAGCAGCCGCAGUAA